rnacentral:rRNA from 1 species
GACGAACGCUGGCGGCGUGCUUAACACAUGCAAGUCGAACGGAAAGGCCCUGCUUUUGUGGGGUGCUCGAGUGGCGAACGGGUGAGUAACACGUGAGUAACCUGCCCUUGACUUUGGGAUAACUUCAGGAAACUGGGGCUAAUACCGGAUAGGAGCUCCUGCUGCAUGGUGGGGGUUGGAAAGUUUCGGCGGUUGGGGAUGGACUCGCGGCUUAUCAGCUUGUUGGUGGGGUAGUGGCUUACCAAGGCUUUGACGGGUAGCCGGCCUGAGAGGGUGACCGGCCACAUUGGGACUGAGAUACGGCCCAGACUCCUACGGGGGGCAGAAGUGGGGAAUAUUGCACAAUGGGCGGAAGCCUGAUGCAGCAACGCCGCGUGCGGGAUGACGGCCUUCGGGUUGUAAACCGCUUUCGCCUGUGACGAAGCGUGAGUGACGGUAAUGGGUAAAGAAGCACCGGCUAACUACGUG